GACGAACGCUGGCGGCGUGCUUAACACAUGCAAGUCGAACGUGAUUUUUGUAGAAAUUCUUUCGGGGAUGGAAAUGAAAUGAAAGUGGCGAACGGGUGAGUAACACGUGAGCAACCUACCUUACACAGGGGGAUAGCCGUUGGAAACGACGAUUAAUACCGCAUGAGACCACAGAAUCGCAUGAUAUAGGGGUCAAAGAUUUAUCGGUGUAAGAAGGGCUCGCGUCUGAUUAGCUAGUUGGAAGGGUAAAGGCCUACCAAGGCGACGAUCAGUAGCCGGUCUGAGAGGAUGAACGGCCACAUUGGAACUGAGACACGGUCCAAACUCCUACGGGAGGCAGCAGUGGGGAAUAUUGCACAAUGGGGGGAACCCUGAUGCAGCGACGCCGCGUGAGCGAAGAAGGUUUUCGAAUCGUAAAGCUCUGUCCUAUGAGAAGAUAAUGACGGUAUCAUAGGAGGAAGCCCCGGCUAAAUACGUGCCAGCAGCCGCGGUAAUACGUAUGGGGCGAGCGUUGUCCGGAAUUAUUGGGCGUAAAGGGUACGUAGGCGGUUUUUUAAGUCAGGUGUGAAAGCGUGAGGCUUAACCUCAUUAAGCACUUGAAACUGGAAGACUUGAGUGAAGGAGAGGAAAGUGGAAUUCCUAGUGUAGCGGUGAAAUGCGUAGAUAUUAGGAGGAAUACCGGUGGCGAAGGCGACUUUCUGGACUUUUACUGACGCUCAGGUACGAAAGCGUGGGGAGCAAACAGG
rnacentral:rRNA from 1 species